AUUGAACGCUGGCGGCAGGCCUAACACAUGCAAGUCGAACGAGUGGCGGACGGGUGAGUAAUGUCUGGGAAACUGCCUGAUGGAGGGGGAUCACUACUGGAAACGGUAGCUAAUACCGCAUACCCUCAGAUGUGCCCAGAUGGGAUUAGCUUGUUGGUGGGGGAACGGCUCACCAAGGCGACGAUCCCUAGCUGGUCUGAGAGGAUGACCAGCCACACGGGAACUGAGACACGGUCCAGACUCCUACGGGAGGCAGCAGUGGGGAAUACUGCACACUGGGGGCAAGCCUGAUGCAGCCAUGCCGCGUGGAUGAAGAAGGUCUUGGGGUUGUAAAGUACUUUCAGCGGGGAGGCGGUACACGAAGAAGAAGCACCGGCUAAUCCCGUGCACGCAGCCGCGGUAAUAC
rnacentral:rRNA from 1 species